rnacentral:rRNA from 1 species
AAAUUGAAGAGUUUGAUCAUGGCUCAGAUUGAACGCUGGCGGCAGGCCUAACACAUGCAAGUCGAGCGGUAGCACAGAGAGCUUGCUCUCGGGUGACGAGCGGCGGACGGGUGAGUAAUGUCUGGGAAACUGCCUGAUGGAGGGGGAUAACUACUGGAAACGGUAGCUAAUACCGCAUAAUGUCGCAAGACCAAAGUGGGGGACCUUCGGGCCUCAUGCCAUCAGAUGUGCCCAGAUGGGAUUAGCUAGUAGGUGGGGUAACGGCUCACCUAGGCGACGAUCCCUAGCUGGUCUGAGAGGAUGACCAGCCACACUGGAACUGAGACACGGUCCAGACUCCUACGGGAGGCAGCAGUGGGGAAUAUUGCACAAUGGGCGCAAGCCUGAUGCAGCCAUGCCGCGUGUAUGAAGAAGGCCUUCGGGUUGUAAAGUACUUUCAGCGGGGAGGAAGGCGAUAAGGUUAAUAACCUUGUCGAUUGACGUUACCCGCAGAAGAAGCACCGGCUAACUCCGUGCCAGCAGCCGCGGUAAUACGGAGGGUGCAAGCGUUAAUCGGAAUUACUGGGCGUAAAGCGCACGCAGGCGGUCUGUCAAGUCGGAUGUGAAAUCCCCGGGCUCAACCUGGGAACUGCAUUCGAAACUGGCAGGCUAGAGUCUUGUAGAGGGGGGUAGAAUUCCAGGUGUAGCGGUGAAAUGCGUAGAGAUCUGGAGGAAUACCGGUGGCGAAGGCGGCCCCCUGGACAAAGACUGACGCUCAGGUGCGAAAGCGUGGGGAGCAAACAGGAUUAGAUACCCUGGUAGUCCACGCCGUAAACGAUGUCGAUUUGGAGGUUGUGCCCUUGAGGCGUGGCUUCCGGAGCUAACGCGUUAAAUCGACCGCCUGGGGAGUACGGCCGCAAGGUUAAAACUCAAAUGAAUUGACGGGGGCCCGCACAAGCGGUGGAGCAUGUGGUUUAAUUCGAUGCAACGCGAAGAACCUUACCUGGUCUUGACAUCCACAGAACUUAGCAGAGAUGCUUUGGUGCCUUCGGGAACUGUGAGACAGGUGCUGCAUGGCUGUCGUCAGCUCGUGUUGUGAAAUGUUGGGUUAAGUCCCGCAACGAGCGCAACCCUUAUCCUUUGUUGCCAGCGGUUAGGCCGGGAACUCAAAGGAGACUGCCAGUGAUAAACUGGAGGAAGGUGGGGAUGACGUCAAGUCAUCAUGGCCCUUACGACCAGGGCUACACACGUGCUACAAUGGCAUAUACAAAGAGAAGCGACCUCGCGAGAGCAAGCGGACCUCAUAAAGUAUGUCGUAGUCCGGAUUGGAGUCUGCAACUCGACUCCAUGAAGUCGGAAUCGCUAGUAAUCGUAGAUCAGAAUGCUACGGUGAAUACGUUCCCGGGCCUUGUACACACCGCCCGUCACACCAUGGGAGUGGGUUGCAAAAGAAGUAGGUAGCUUAACCUUCGGGAGGGCGCUUACCACUUUGUGAUUCAUGACUGGGGUGAAGUCGUAACAAGGUAACCGUAGGGGAACCUGCGGUUGGAUCACCUCCUUA